rnacentral:rRNA from 1 species
AAAGACUACCAGGAUUCCCUCAGUAACUGCGAGUGAAGCGGGAAGAGCUCAAAUUUAAAAUCUGGCAGCCCUCUUGGGCUGUCCGAGUUGUAAUCUAAAGAAGUGCUCUCCGCACUGGACCAUGUAUAAGUCUCUUGGAAUGGAGCAUCAUAGAGGGUGACAAUCCCGUCUUUGACAUGGACUCCCAGAGCUUUUUGUGUGGCACUCUCGAAGAGUCGAGUUGUUUGGGAAUGCAGCUCAAAAUGGGUGGUAAAUUCCAUCUAAAGCUAAAUACUGGCGAGAGACCGAUAGCGAACAAGUACCGUGAGGGAAAGAUGAAAAGAACUUUGAAAAGAGAGUUAAACAGUACGUGAAAUUGUUGAAAGGGAAACGAUUCAAGUCAGUCGCAUUGGCUGGUAAUCAACCUUUGCAAAGCUUUGCGGGGCUUACUUUCCAGUUAAUGGGUCAGCAUCAAUUUUGAUCGUCAGACAAAGGCAUGAGGAAUGUGGCAUCUUCGGAUGUGUUAUAGCCUCAAGUCACAUGUGAUGGUUGGGAUUGAGGAACUCAGCAUGCCUUGGUGGCCGGGGCUUUUCAGCUCACGUAACAUGCUUAGGAUGCUGGCAUAAUGGCUUGAACCGACCCGUCUUGAAACACGGACCAAGGAGUCCAACAUGCCUGCGAGUGUUUGGGUGGAAAACCUAAGCGCGAAGUGAAAGUAAACUUUGUCGAGAUCCCUGUCGUGGGGAGCACCGACGCCCGGACCAGACCUUUUGCGACGGAUCUGCGGUUGAGCAAGCAUGUUGGGACCCGAAAGAUGGUGAACUAUGCCUGAAUAGGGUGAAGCCAGAGGAAACUCUGGUGGAGGCUCGUUANCGAUUCUGACGUGCCAAAUCAAUCNUCAAAUUUUGGGUAUAGGGGCCAAAANACUAAAUCCNAACCCAUCUAAGUAACCUGGGUUNCCUGCCGGAANUUUUCCCUCAAGGAAA